rnacentral:lncRNA from 1 species
AUAAUGUCACAGUUCAACCAAACCCUGGGGAAUAUAGAUCUUGGAUAUCUGCUUGGAACAUGACACUUCAUUGCAAGCCAGAAUAUGAAAAUUUUUAUUAAGUCUGCAUUCAGUGAAAAGAAAAUUAGUGGUGCUCUGGAUCCUUCUAAGAGGGUUGGCCAAUGUUAGGCUGUAAGUGUAAUACUUUUUGAAUAAUAAUUGGUAACACAAAGUGACUCUUGGAAUACCACAUGCUCCCAGAAUUUUCCUUAAUAAGAACAGCAUGUUAGAAAGAUAAUUCUGAAAAGAAAAACGAAUACAAGUCUAGAAGAAGUCAUGUUUUCUGAUUUACUGAGCUCUUUACUGGCAUUUACUGGAAUCCAAUAGAACUCCAGCCUCCUGGAGUUGGCAAAUCCUUUCAUGAGUCUGAGGAGGGUUCCAUGAAGCAGGAAAUCUGCCAAAAUGAAAUCACCUUUCUUUGGCCCACCCUCAAUUGUAAAGACAACUGGAUUGUCUUGGAUACAACUCUUCAGAUUGAUAAUUGGGCUCCUUUAUAUUUCCUUACAGAUGUUCAAAUGUUCACAGAAGAGUUUGUUUUAAACAGUUUUCAUUGUAAAACAGUUUGCUUUUAAUUAAAACAGACUUGCAUGGAGAGUUUCAUGAACAAAUCAUGCCUGACAUCUGAAGCCUCUGAGCCUUGUCCAUUAUGAAUUUUACUCUAAGUAUAAAACGAUAGGGAGAAAGAACAUGGAAAAUAAAAUGCCAGGUUGUUAACAGAAAAAAGAAGACAUUUAAAGUUUUUUGUUUUUUUUUUUUUUAGACAGGGUGUUGCUCUGCAUUCAUAGUGGAAUACAGUGGUGUGAUCACAUCUCACUGCAGCCUCAAUCUCCUGGGCUCAAGCAAUCCUCCCACCUUCGCCUCCUGAGUAGCUGGGACUAUAGUCAUGUACCACAAUGCCCAGCUAAUUAUUUUUUUUCUUUCAGAGAUGGUGGAUCUCACUUUGCUGCCCAGGCUAGUCUUGAACUUUUGGCUCAAGUGAUCCUCCUGCCUCAGUCUCUCGAAGUGUUAGAAUUAUAGGCGUGAGUCACCAUGCCUAGCCUAAAGUAUUUUAAUACCGACAAAAAUAUUUCCUUAAACAGGAUUUGAAUUCUGAGCUUUCCAUCUACCAGCACUAUAUAUUCCCUUUCCAGGUAGCAGUUUGGCUACUCUAGUCUAGUGCCUUCAGAAUUCUGAAAAGCUCUUCUGGGCUUUCACUUUCCAUUUCAUCAAAGAGAAAAAGAGAUUCAGUCUUCCUUUAUGGGAACCCCAUUUGGGAUCAGAGUUUGGCUCUCAGGCCACGGUCUAAAACAUAUACAUACCAUAUGUGUUCAAUAAAUGUUCAUUUUUUUCUUUCUCAUCCUUUGUUCUCUACUCUCUUAUUUCCAAUCCAGUUUGCAUGUCCAAUUAUCAGGUCUAUCAGAAUAAGCCUUAAAAUACCAAUUUCAUUAGGUGACUUUCUUGCUCAAAAUCUUCCAGUGACUCCCAGCUGCCCAUAGAAUGUAGCCUGAACUUCUCUUCCUGGUAUUCAAGGCCCUCUGUAAUCUGACUACAAUAUACUUUAAAAUUCUCUAACACACUUUAAAGACAAAUUUCUAUUGGGCCAAUCUUCUCACCAAUUCCUGCCUUUAAGUGCCAGGCCCUAACCAAAUUUCUCACUGGGCCUGAGUUUAGGCAUAUCUUUUGCAAGAGGAUUGGCUGCUCCACUCCUGCCCCGAUAGAUCACAGUAGCCUUAGUAUAGCUACCAGGUAAGGGUGCCUCCUGUAUAUCAUGCACUUUUCAUACAUUAUCUUUUUUCAUCAUCAUAAUAACUUGUAAAGACCACAUUCUGAUUCCAUUUUACAAAUAAGGAAGUUGGAGCUCAGUGACAUUGUGACGUAAGACCAUGUUGUUGUUAUGAAGUGGUGAAAACAGGAUUCUCUCCUAAGACGGUUGCUAGAGCCAUUGCUCUGCCCCUGCCUCUAUGCUGACUUCAUUCAUCUCUUCUGCUCUGAACCUUGUCCAGUUUUAUCUUUGGAAUCACUUAUUUGACACUUACACUCCUUCUGUCUUGAACUGGUAAUUACAUGAUCCAUUUGUGCUUAUCUUCCCAACACGGCUGUUAGAGGGCAGUGGCUUCAUGCUAUUAACAAAUCACCUCCAUCAGCAUUGAGCAUAGUACUAUGGCAUAGCACAAAUGCAGUGGCAGUAAAUACCACCUGAAUGUGGCUAGCAUACCAAACAUUCCAAGCCCUGUUGACCCUCUCAACACUGCAUUUGGACUAUCCUCUGAAAAUGAGAUCAAGAUGCUGAAAAGAAAAGGUGGAAGACUUUAGUUUCCCUGCCAAAAGAUCUGCAGACAUGAGUGGGCAUAAUGACGUACAGACAUACUUCAGAGAUACUGUGGGUUUGGUUCCAGACCACUGCAAUAAAGUGAAUAUUGCAAUAAAGUAAGUUGCAUGAAUUUUUUUUGAUAUAAAAG